rnacentral:rRNA from 1 species
UCUGGAANCUGUCUGACUUGAGUGCAGAAGGGGAGAGUGGAAUUCCAUGUGUAGCGGUGAAAUGCGUAGAUAUAUGGAGGAACACCAGUGGCGAAAGCGGCUNUCUGGUCUGUCACUGACGCUGAGGCUCGAAAGCGUGGGUAGCGAACAGGAUUAGAUACCCUGGUAGUCCACGCCGUAAACGAUGAGUGCUAGGUGUUAGGCCCUUUCCGGGGCUUAGUGCCGGAGCUAACGCAAUAAGCACUCCGCCUGGGGAGUACGACCGCAAGGUUGAAACUCAAAGGAAUUGACGGGGGCCCGCACAAGCGGUGGAGCAUGUGGUUUAAUUCGAAGCAACGCGAAGAACCUUACCAGGUCUUGACAUCCCGAUGCUAUUCUUAGAGAUAGGAAGUUACUUCGGUACAUCGGAGACAGGUGGUGCAUGGUUGUCGUCAGCUCGUGUCGUGAGAUGUUGGGUUAAGUCCCGCAACGAGCGCAACCCUUAUUGUUAGUUGCCAUCAUUAAGUUGGGCACUCUAGCGAGACUGCCGGUAAUAAACCGGAGGAAGGUGGGGAUGACGUCAAAUCAUCAUGCCCCUUAUGACCUGGGCUACACACGUGCUACAAUGGUCGGUACAACGAGUUGCGAGCCGGUGACGGCAAGCUAAUCUCUGAAAGCCGAUCUCAGUUCGGAUUGGAGGCUGCAACUCGCCUCCAUGAAGUCGGAAUCGCUAGUAAUCGCGGAUCAGCACGCCGCGGUGAAUACGUUCCCGGGCCUUGUACACACCGCCCGUCACACCACGAGAGUUUGUAACACCCGAAGUCGGUGAGGUAACCUUUUAGGGGCCAGCCG